rnacentral:rRNA from 1 species
UCAGGAUGAACGCUAGCGGGAGGCCUAACACAUGCAAGCCGAGCGGUAGAGAUUCUUCGGAAUCUUGAGAGCGGCGUACGGGUGCGGAACACGUGUGCAACCUGCCUUUAUCAAGGGGAUAGCCUUUCGAAAGGAAGAUUAAUACCCUAUAAUAUAUGAUUCGGCAUCGGAUUAUAUUGAAAACUACGGUGGAUAAAGAUGGGCACGCGCAAGAUUAGCUAGUUGGUGAGGUAACGGCUCACCAAGGCGACGAUCUUUAGGGGGCCUGAGAGGGUGAUCCCCCACACUGGUACUGAGACACGGACCAGACUCCUACGGGAGGCAGCAGUGAGGAAUAUUGGACAAUGGGUGAAAGCCUGAUCCAGCCAUCCCGCGUGUAGGAAGACGGCCCUAUGGGUUGUAAACUACUUUUAUCUGGGGAUAAACCUACUUACGUGUAAGUAGCUGAAGGUACCAGAUGAAUAAGCACCGGCUAACUCCGUGCCAGCAGCCGCGGUAAUACGGAGGGUGCAAGCGUUAUCCGGAUUUAUUGGGUUUAAAGGGUCCGUAGGCGGACUGAUAAGUCAGUGGUGAAAUCCGACAGCUUAACUGUCGAACUGCCAUUGAUACUGUUAGUCUUGAGUAAGGUUGAAGUGGCUGGAAUAAGUAGUGUAGCGGUGAAAUGCAUAGAUAUUACUUAGAACACCAAUUGCGAAGGCAGGUCACUAAGUCUUAACUGAC